rnacentral:rRNA from 1 species
AUCUCUGUAGAGUCUGCAUAUCAAUAAGCGGAGGAAAAGAAACUAACUAGGAUUCCCUCAGUAACGGCGAGUGAAGCGGGAAGAGCUCAAAUUUGAAAUCUUCAAGGUUUUACCUUGACGAAUUGUAGUUUAAAGAAGUGUUUUCUGUUGAAGUUUUGGUAAAAGUUCUUUGGAAUAGGACAUCAUAGAGGGUGAGAAUCCCGUAUUUGACCAUUAUUUCCAGCUUUGUGAUACACUUUCAAAGAGUCGGAUUGUUUGGGAAUGCAGUCCAAAAUGGGUGGUAAAUUUCAUCUAAAGCUAAAUAUUGGCGAGAGACCGAUAGCGAACAAGUACCGUGAGGGAAAGAUGAAAAGAACUUUGAAAAGAGAGUUAAACAGUACGUGAAAUUGUCAAAAGGGAAGCGUUUGACACCAGUGUUGUUUCUACGAAAAUCAAUUUAUGAUGGCUUGAUGCUAAGCUUUAAGACUUUAUCCGCUUGUUGUUUAGUUUUCUUGUCUUUGUGAAUGCACUUUUCGUGGAACAAGUCAACAUCAAUUUCUUUUGCUGUAAAAGGGUAAGAGGAAGGUGGCUUCGGCUUCGGUUGAAGUGUUUAUAGCCUUUUAUCUCUGCAGUCGGAGAGAUUGAGGUCUGCAGCGUAGACUCUUCGGGGUUAGAUACGUCGGUGCUAAGCUAUAGCUUUUCAUAGACAACUUGUUGACUAUGUUUAGUCAUGUGGCUUACCCGCUGGCGCUAUUUUACCUACGCUUAGGAUGUUGAGUCAUCACACAUCUCU